rnacentral:lncRNA from 1 species
UUCUAAUUUGUUUCUAUUUAUGGCUCUGUUGUUCAAACAUGUAAUUGACAUGUUUACAUUACUGCUUCAUCUAGCAUGCUAGUCUAAUCCUCUUAUGGCCUUUUAGAACAUAUUCUACUCCCCUGGUAGUCUGUCUCAACAUGACUCUACCCUGUUUUGAAUGCUUGUCUAUUUGUUAUACAGUUUUGAUAUGCAUUUACUUGGCAAACUGAUAUGUCAGUUUAAAUAUAUGAUUCUAUAGUUGGUUAUGAAAUUCAUACUAUGUUGGCACCAAUAGCAAUCCCUAAUCCUAUAAACCCCC